UACGAAGGGGGCUAGCGUUGCUCGGAAUUACUGGGCGUAAAGGGCGCGUAGGCGGCGGAUCAAGUCAGGCGUGAAAUUCCUGGGCUUAACCUGGGGGCUGCGCUUGAGACUGAUGUGCUUGAGGAUGGCAGAGGCUCGUGGAAUUCCCAGUGUAGAGGUGAAAUUCGUAGAUAUUGGGAAGAACACCGGUGGCGAAGGCGGCGAGCUGGGCCAUUACUGACGCUGAGGCACGAAAGCGUGGGGAUCAAACAGG
rnacentral:rRNA from 1 species